CCUACGGGGCGCAGCAGUGAGGAAUAUUGGUCAAUGGUCGGGAGACUGAACCAGCCAAGCCGCGUGAGGGAUGAAGGUACAGAGUAUCGUAAACCUCUUUUGUCAGGGAACAAAGGCGGGGACGUGUCCCCGGAUGAGUGUACCUGAAGAAAAAGCAUCGGCUAACUCUGUGCCAGCAGCCGUGGUACUACGGAGGAUGCGAGGGUUAUCCGGAUUUAUUGGGUUUAAGGGGGGCGCAGGCGUUUUGUUAAGUCAGCGGUAACAGCCCGGGGCUCAACCCCGGCCCGCCGUUGAAACUGGCAGUCUCGAGUUGGAGGGAGGUAUGCGGAAUGCGCGGUGU
rnacentral:rRNA from 1 species